UCCCAGAGCGCUAACUGUGCUCUUGGCCAUCAAACAUCACCUAAAGAGAGGAGGUGGGGAGCAGGGUCUUGAGCACCGAGCAGCUGAUCAGCUGUCCUCAGUUCUCCUUGGCAUCAAGCAUCUCAGGUUAUCGCUCCCUGAUUGUCGCUAAGAGGAUCUUCAGAUAGCUAGCCAGUAACCAUUUGCUCUCCCAUCAUCGCUCCAUGUCUUUUCUCUGGGUUACCCUAAUCUCAAGUGAACCUUCCCAGCCUGGGCUGGUGGCAGAACAAUUGGUGUAGUCGGCAGGAUCUUCCACAGCCUGGUGUGAAACCCUCAGCUCCCCCGGAAACCACACAGAAGAUUCAUGGGUUGAUUGUGCAGCAAAAAUCCCUCUGGAAUGGAGUGUGUGGUCAGAGUACAAAGACGGCCAGAUCCAGGCUUUCCACCGAGGCCUUCCACUUGCUAGUGAAUCAACAUAUGUUAUGUAAUCUACACGGGCACAGUAUACAUGUAAACAAGUAGUCUGUGUCUACAUAACUUUUUGCCAGCUUGCCAGCUUUGUAAAAUAUCAUACGUAAAAGACUUACUAGUGUUGCUCCUCAUGCUGCUGAGGUAUUAAAGGAAAGUCAGAUAUU